rnacentral:rRNA from 1 species
UAGGGAANCNNCNGCNAUGGGGGCAACCCUGACCGAGCAACGCCGCGUGAGUGAAGAAGGUUUUCGGAUCGUAAAGCUCUGUUGUAAGAGAAGAACGAGUGUGAGAGUGGAAAGUUCACACUGUGACGGUAACUUACCAGAAAGGGACGGCUAACUACGUGCCAGCAGCCGCGGUAAUACGUAGGUCCCGAGCGUUAUCCGGAUUUAUUGGGCGUAAAGCGAGCGCAGGCGGUUAGAUAAGUCUGAAGUUAAAGGCUGUGGCUUAACCAUAGUACGCUUUGGAAACUGUUUAACUUGAGUGCAGAAGGGGAGAGUGGAAUUCCAUGUGUAGCGGUGAAAUGCGUAGAUAUAUGGAGGAACACCGGUGGCGAAAGCGGCUCUCUGGUCUGUAACUGACGCUGAGGCUCGAAAGCGUGGGGAGCAAACAGGAUUAGAUACCCUGGUAGUCCACGCCGUAAACGAUGAGUGCUAGGUGUUGGGUCCUUUCCGGGACUCAGUGCCGCAGCUAACGCAUUAAGCACUCCGCCUGGGGAGUACGACCGCAAGGUUG